rnacentral:rRNA from 1 species
UGCGUAACGCGUGGGAAUCUGCCUCUUGGUUCGGAAUAACAGUUAGAAAUGACUGCUAAUACCGGAUGACGACGAAAGUCCAAAGAUUUAUCGCCGAGAGAUGAGCCCGCGUAGGAUUAGCUAGUUGGUGAGGUAAUGGCUCACCAAGGCGACGAUCCUUAGCUGGUCUGAGAGGAUGAUCAGCCACACUGGGACUGAGACACGGCCCAG